rnacentral:lncRNA from 1 species
UUUUUUUAUUUUAUUUUUUGCAUUUUAACCCCUGUAAUUUUAAAAUUUUACAUUUUGACCCCAAACUUUUCUAAAAUUUACAUUUUGACCCCAAAACUUUCUAAAAUUACAUUUCAACCCUUAUACUUUCUCAAAAUUUCACUUUGACCCCUAAACUCUCAAGAAAUUACAUUUUGGCCCAUAUUUUUGCUAAAAUUACACUUUUGCCCCAGAAGCUUUGCAUCCUAUGCAAUUUAGUCCUUCUGGACUUGUCUAAUCGCUGCAGCAGUGAGUGUACCCCUCCCGGCCGAGCUACUCCAGCAGCCCCCCUAGGCCAUCAUGGCUCCUCUGCCACCUGCAAACAAUGAGAAAGAGGACAAAAUUUGGAGCUUUUAAAAAGAAAAAAUUGAAGAGAAGGGGGGGAUUUUUCGGCAACCAAAGCAAAAAAAAUAGCAGAAAAUUCCAGCAGCAAAAAAUACUCCCAUGGGCCGAUCCCACGCUCACCGCCACCGUACCCACGCCACCACGAUCGCCGUGCAACAAUCAUCGUUACUCCUCGCCGAAGUCAAGCUAAGAAAUGUGCAAGCAUAAACAAAAGAAAGGAAAAUAGCAUCAAGCAAGCAAAAAAAAAAAGUAAAGUAGAAAGAAGUGAAGAAAGAAGAAGAAGAGAGGAGGGAAAGGAGAACGCCGGCGACCGUCCAACCACCGCACCCAGGAGACACCGACGGCGGUGAAAAAGAAGGGCCAAGGCUUUGAGACAAGAAGAAGAGAAGAAGAAAAAAAAGAAAAAAAAAAAGAGGAAGAAAAAGAGAGAAAAAAGAAAGAAAAAAAGAAAAUAAAAAGUAAUAAAAAAAUAAAAACAGCAGCCCAUUUUUGGUAAGCCACCAGCAGUCCACCACCAAUGGACUUGACCCAGUGCAGGCCCAAUACCCCAGCAGCUCCAGCGGGCCGUUUGCAGCAGUGAAGCGGGCCAACUGAGGCCCAAACCGAAAAAAAGGAAAAGGGCCUUUUUGGGUAAAUUUUUUUCUUUUUAAUCUAUUUUAUUUUAUUUAAUGUAUUUAAAUGGUGUUUUAUUUAAUUUAAAUUAGUAUGUUUAAAAAUAGUUUUCAUAAAUAUUAUUAUGUCAUUUUAAUUGCAUAUUUAAAAAAUAAUAAUAAUAAUAUUUUAAUGCAUAAGGCAACG